rnacentral:rRNA from 1 species
UACGUAGGGUGCGAGCGUUAAUCGGAAUUACUGGGCGUAAAGCGUGCGCAGGCGGUUAUGUGAGACAGGUGUGAAAUCCCCGGGCUCAACCUGGGAACUGCAUCUGUGACUGCAUCGCUAGAGUACGGCAGAGGGGGAUGGAAUUCCGCGUGUAGCAGUGAAAUGCGUAGAUAUGCGGAGGAACACCGAUGGCGAAGGCAAUCCCCUGGGCCUGUACUGACGCUCAGGCACGAAAGCGUGGGGAGCAAACAGG